GAUGAACGCUGGCGGCGUGCCUAAUACAUGCAAGUCGAGCGAACAGACGAGGAGCUUGCUCCUCUGACGUUAGCGGCGCACGGGUGAGUAACACGUGGAUAACCUCCCUAUAAGACUGGGAUAACUUCGGGAAACCGGAGCUAAUACCGGAUAAUAUAUUGAACCACAUGGUUCAAUAGUGAAAGACGGUUUUGCUGUCACUUAUAGAUGGAUCCGCGCCGCAUUAGCUAGUUGGUAAGGUAACGGCUUACCAAGGGAACGAUGCGUAGCCGACCUGAGAGGGUGAUCGGCCGCACUGGAACGGAGACACGGUCCAGAGUCCUACGGGAGGCACCAGUAGGGAAUCGUCCGCAAUGGGGGAGAGCCUGACGGAGCAACGCCGAGUGAGUGAUGAAGGUCUUCGGAUCGUAAAACUCUGUUAUGAGGGAAAAACAAAUGUGUAAGUAACUAUGCACGUCUUGACGGUACCUAAUCAGAAAGCCACGGCUAACUACGUG
rnacentral:rRNA from 1 species